GGAGCUCUCCCAUAUGGUCGACCUGCAGGCGGCCGCGAAUUCACUAGUGAUUGUUUGAUCCUGGCUCAGAUUGAACGCUGGCGGCAGGCUUAACACAUGCAAGUCGAACGGUAACAGAGAAUAGCUUGCUAUUCUGCUGACGAGUGGCGGACGGGUGAGUAAUGCUUGGGAAUUUGCCGAAAGGUGGGGGACAACAGUUGGAAACGACUGCUAAUACCGCAUAAUGUCUACGGACCAAAGGUGGCCUCUAUUUAUAUGCUAUCGCCUUUCGAUGAGCCCAAGUGGGAUUAGCUAGUUGGUAAGGUAAUGGCUUACCAAGGCGACGAUCCCUAGCUGGUCUUAGAGGAUGACCAGCCACACUGGAACUGAGACACGGUCCAGACUCCUACGGGAGGCAGCAGUGGGGAAUAUUGCACAAUGGGGGAAACCCUGAUGCAGCCAUGCCGCGUGCGUGAAGAAGGCUUUCGGGUUGUAAAGCACUUUCAGCGAGGAGGAAAGGGUGAUGGCUAAUAUCCAUCAUCUGUGACGUUACUCGCAGAAGAAGCACCGGCUAACUCCGUGCCAGCAGCCGCGGUAAUACGGAGGGUGCAAGCGUUAAUCGGAAUUACUGGGCGUAAAGCGCGCGUAGGUGGUUAAUUAAGUCAGAUGUGAAAGCCCAGGGCUCAACCUUGGAACUGCAUUUGAAACUGGUUGACUAGAGUUUUGUAGAGGGUGGUAGAAUUUCAGGUGUAGCGGUGAAAUGCGUAGAGAUCUGAAGGAAUACCAGUGGCGAAGGCGGCCACCUGGACAAAGACUGACACUGAGGCGCGAAGGCGUGGGGAGCAAACGGGAUUAGAUACCCCGGUAGUCCACGCAGUAAACGAUGUCUAUUAGAAGUUUGUGGCUAUAUGCCGUGGGUUUCAAAGCUAACGCAUUAAAUAGACCGCCUGGGGAGUA
rnacentral:rRNA from 1 species